GGGGGGCCCAGGGCGGGAACCCGGACCCGGCUGGAAGUCCGGAGCCUGGCCGCAGCCCCGCCCCUCCGCUCUUUCUUGGUGACCUUAAGCCAGUGGCUGCCUUUUUCUGAGCCCGGGCGGGGCCGAAGGCGGCCCGUAGGCCCUCGGGACUCCCAGCACUGCAGAGGGUGUGAGGUCUGACAUCCAAGACACGUUGUUUCUUAUUUCUGAAGGAAGAACUCAAGCUCCGGGAAGUGAUGGCUGGGGAUGGGGCGGGCAACUUGGGGACCGAGUGUACGAUCCACGCCUAAGGUUGAGGGCGGCCGAGCUAGCCAGGCAGCCGUGACCCCAUUGCUUUUCAGACGUUUCUUAGCUUCCAGAGCCCAACACAUACAGCUGAUACACGCAGACCAAAUCUGGUCAGGUCCUCGGAAGCUGAGUCCAGAGCGAUGCUGCUGAAGACAGUGCUCUUGCUGGGACAUGUGGCCCAGGUGCUGAUGCUGGACAAUGGGCUCCUGCAGACACCACCCAUGGGCUGGCUGGCCUGGGAACGCUUCCGCUGCAACAUUAACUGUGAUGAGGACCCAAAGAACUGCAUCAGUGAACGGCUCUUCAUGGAGAUGGCUGACCGGAUGGCACAGGAUGGAUGGCGGGACAUGGGCUACACAUACCUCAACAUUGAUGACUGCUGGAUCGGUGGUCGCGAUGCCAGUGGCUGCCUGAUGCCAGAUCCCAAGCGCUUCCCUCAUGGCAUUCCUUUCCUGGCUGACUACGUUCACUCCCUGGGCCUGAAGUUGGGUAUCUACGCGGACAUGGGCAACUUCACCUGCAUGGGUUACCCAGGCACCACACUGGACAAGGUGGUCCAGGAUGCUCAGACCUUCGCCGAGUGGAAGGUAGACAUGCUCAAGCUGGAUGGCUGCUUCUCCACCCCCGAGGAGCGGGCCCAGGGGUACCCCAAGAUGGCUGCUGCCCUGAAUGCCACAGGCCGCCCCAUCGCCUUCUCCUGCAGCUGGCCAGCCUAUGAAGGCGGCCUCCCCCCAAGGGUGAACUACAGUCUGCUGGCGGACAUCUGCAACCUCUGGCGUAACUAUGAUGACAUCCAGGACUCCUGGUGGAGCGUGCUCUCCAUCCUGAAUUGGUUCGUGGAGCACCAGGACAUACUGCAGCCAGUGGCCGGCCCUGGGCACUGGAAUGACCCUGACAUGGCAAGGUUGGGAGAGGAGGGCAGCAGGAGUAGUAGUGGUCUCUUCCUUACCUCAGCCUCCCAAAGUGCUGGCAUUUACAAGCAUGAGCCGCCGCACCUGGCCAUCUGCCCACCCCCCUACCGCCGACUCCUGUUCUUGAUGGAAAAUAAAAAGCUGAUGCUCAGAUGGAAGCUGCUCAUUGGGAACUUUGGUCUCAGCUUAGAGCAAUCCCGGGCCCAGAUGGCCCUGUGGACGGUGCUGGCAGCCCCCCUCUUGAUGUCCACAGACCUGCGUACCAUCUCCGCCCAGAACAUGGACAUUCUGCAGAAUCCACUCAUGAUCAAAAUCAACCAGGAUCCCUUAGGCAUCCAGGGACGCAGGAUUCACAAGUAGAGACAGGGUUUCACCAUGUUGGCCAGGCUACUCUCAAAACUCCUGACGUCAGCUGAUCCACUGGCCUCGGCCUCACAAAGUAAUGGGAUUACAGGCAUGAGCCACUGUGCCUGUCUGCCUUUGCUCUUUACCAAAUCCUGGAUUCUGGUAAAAAGAAACCUACAGAACUACGGAAGGCACCUAUAGAACUGGUGAUGCCCAGAGGAAGUAACAAUUCCCUGCCAGAGGGGCUGAUGGUGGAGCUGGGCCUGGAAAACCUUCUGGAGGAUGGGAGUUCACAUCCAGCUCCACUCUCCACCCUCCUGGAACAGAGUUCACUGUUCCCACUGGACAGCACCCUCCAGGCCAGCACUGGCAGCUGUUUGGGGCCAGCACUCAUACGCUGUACUGUUGUUGCGCUUCCCUGUUUCUGCGUUUAUCCCUCCCGUUGUCCUAUGAGCUUCUGGGGCAGGGCCUCAUGCAGCACUUGUCUCAGUGUGCUAGCAUAGGGGCCGGGCUCAGAGUAGGUGUUGAUGAGUAUCUGCUGAGUCAGGGAAGGUGGGCAGAUAGGGUUAGAUAAGCUGGGGUGCUGGAGGCCCGUGGCAUCCUCCCUAAACCUGUGUGACAUGGAGCUGUGAACUGGGGGACCCAGAACUCAGGGAGGGCCAGGGAGGCAAUGGUAGGUCGUGUCUGAGCAAGGGACCCCAGCCAGUAGCCACCUUCUGUGCCCAGGAAAAAUCUCUCAUCGAAGUGUACAUGCGGCCUCUGUCCAACAAGGCUAGCGCCUUAGUCUUCUUCAGCCGCAGGACCGAUAUGCCUUAUCGCUACCACUCCUCCCUUGGCCAGCUGAACUUCACCGGGUCUGUGAUAUAUGAGGCCCAGGACGUCUACUCAGGUGACAUCAUCAGUGGCCUCCGAGAUGAAACCAACUUCACAGUGAUCAUCAACCCUUCAGGGGUAGUGAUGUGGUACCUGUAUCCCAUCAAGAACCUGGAGAUGUCCCAGCAGUGAGGAGCUGGGACAUGUGACAGGCUGUGGUGGCACCACUGAGCCUAGACCAUGGAGCCUUGGCAUGCCCAGGGCAAGUGGGGAGGUUCUCUGCUCCCCAGGCCUGCUCGGUGACUGACCCCCUCAUACCCAAAGUGCAAUCUCACGGCCAGGUUCUAUGCCCUGUCCAAGCGUAAACCCUCUUGGAAACUUCUUUUGGGGCAAUUUUCCUGUGGCCUUCCUGGCCUCUACUUCCAUGUGGCAGCCCCACAGACAUUGCUGAGCAACUUGCCAGCCUCCUGAGCUCCAUGCCCAUCAGGACUCUAGCCUCUGACCUUGCUGUUGACUCUGAAAUCAGGAUUUGGAAGUUUUCGAAUUAGGAGUAGAGAGAUCUGACCUCUUGCCAGGAAUGCCCAUGAAUCAUGUGAUUGGCUUUUCUACCCAUAGAGGGCCUUGCAGCCUGAUACCACCUGGGAGUGAGGGUCACAAAGGAGACCUUGGCUCCCUCAGGUCACCAAUAAACCUGUUCUUUAAUCAAGUAGUUGUAAUAUGGACCUGGGGUACCUUUAGUUAGGGACUCUGGUGGCACUACACAGGGUGCUGGAUUCAAAUCUCACCUCUAUGGAUGAUGUCUGGCAUCGUCUGGCCCCUCCUUUUCCAAAGUGACCAGAAGAUUGUACUUCCUAGAGAUGCCAGACUUGCCUCACACCCAGGAGCUGCCCCUGCUGUGCCUGGUAUGCUGGCAGUGGUGAUGGUGACAACACAAUGAGGCCAAGUAGCAAUGCUCCCAGGUCCUGCAGCUUGUGCUCUGCCCAGCAGUGCCCCUGGCCCAGCACCUCAGCCUGCUCUUCUCUCUGGUGGCUCCAACCCCACCCCUACUUCUUUUCCUUUAUUUCUCUCCCAACCUGGCUGCAAAGGAGGUUCAUAUUCCCCAGAUGUGUCCACAAACCUGUCCAGGAGUUGUGUCUUAAAAUUGAUUUCCUGUCCCUCUUCCUAAGGACAGGGGUAACAGUCAAAGUGAAGGAAUGAUGGGUUCUUGCCUGUCUUGCUUUGGUCCUUAUUUCCCAAGCCCUCCUCUUUUAGCCAAGGCUACAGGGCACUUGUCUUCCCUGGUGGCUCUCUCCCCUUUGGAGAGAGCUAGUGGCAGAGCAACCUAGCUAGGUCCUCCUUGGGCUUUGAAUGCAGGAGCACCCAGUGCCCCAGGCCUUGCACUGUGCUGCCCAAGGAGUAUUUUCUGGGUGGAUCUCCCAUACUCCUCAGGGUUCUGAGGUCCUUGUAUUUAGGGUAUGGUAUAAAAACUUACAUAUGCACAUUUUGUUACAUCAUUUAAGAUUACUGAAGCUUUACUGGUUAAGUAUAGGGUCACCAGAGAAAGUUCCUUUCCCCAGUUGAUGUCUUGAGGCUGUUGAGAAACUUAGGACAGAAGCCUACCUCAUCCCAGGCCUGCCCGUCCGUGCAUAGCUCUGCCUUUGGGUCUUGUUCAUAGUGCUGUUCAGGCAAAAUGGAAUAGUCUCAGGUGGGAACACCUUCUCUUGCUAGCUCCAGGAAGGCUUUGUGGGAAAUGAGUUGAGACCAUAGACUUGGGAGUUGGGGGCCAGAGUUGAGCCUGGACUUGACCAAUUAAUUCCCUUACCUUUCAGCCCAAGAUAGCUACAUGUCUUUACUUGCUGUAUAAGUUAUCCUUUUGUCCUGGGGGUGCCUGAUUGAUCCUAUCUCUUCACCCUUCAUUCUUUCAACAAACAUGCCAUCUAUCUCCCAGGACAUUUAUUCCCUUCUAUUCAAGGCCAGUUAGGAAUGCAAUUAUUUUUUUUUUUCAGUUAAAUACAGACUUGUUUGGACCCAAGGUACCCUUUCUCUUUUUAAAAACUUUUUAUCAUGAAAACUUUCAAAUACAAAAAUAAAAUGGUAGAGUGAACCUCCAUGUACCCAGCAUCCAGCUCCAGUAA